CAAUACAAAUCAUUUAUAUGAAAAAUUUUAUUUAAGAAGAGAAUGUAUUUUAACUUAAGAUUAUUUAAAGCCUUUGAUAAAUACCAACAUAAAGUUUUGGUUGGUAGCUUUAUUUAAAAAUAAGAACAAAGAAACCUAAAAGGACAAAUAUGUUUGAGCUCCAACUUAUGCUGCUGCUGCUGCUCCGGAUUUGGCCAGCGUGGCGUGUACAUCAAUUCGUGCAUUUCCAUCCAGGACUCCCUUCACUGCACCCAUCUCGCCCGCAGGAUAACUGUCGGAAUCCUUGUGUGCGGCUGUCACAGAUUGAAUUGCGUUUGCUGCUGGCUGCUGGCUGCUCGGUGCACCCCUCUAAUGCUACUGCCAUUUUAUCCGCAAAGUAGACAAAGCUGAUAAGCGAUAAGCGGCUUAACUGCCGCGACUACUCGGACGGGCGAGGAUGUAAAACUGAUUGCAGAAUGGGAGCCGAACUAUCGGGUAUGAGAACAUACAUAUAAUUUGACAACGAUUUGCAAGAAUUAUAAUAAUGGAAAUGGGACUCGCGCGGCAAGCUCUUUGAUGAUUUUUGCUGCACUUUUGGGCCAAGCCGUUGAGCUUGUAUCCACAAACAGCACAAGCCCGAAAUCAAAAGCCCAAAAAAGAAGCAAUAUCACCGCAGAGUGCACAUAAAUUCAAGCUCCGCACCCCAUCCCAAUGCGAUCCCCGAGCAAACAAAACUUACGAUUACUUGGCCAAAGCCAGAGAAACUCAGGAGCCAUUUGUUUUCAUAUUUCCCCCUCACACACUCACACCUCGCAGCCCCCCUGCUCCCCUGCUCCCCGUUCCCUGGGCACCUCUCAUAGAACAUUUCCCAGGCAAACAUUUUGGUAAAAAUGCAAUUUUCAAGUGAAGGUGAAGUUGCAGUCGAGUUCUGGAGAAAGAAGAGAAAAUGGCAGAGAAGUGAACUGUGGAACCUCUGGGGCGAAAAGGGCACAAGGAAAACUUUAGCAGAUUGUUAGCGAGUUAA